AACGAACGCUGGCGGCAUGCCUAACACAUGCAAGUCGAACGAGACCUUCGGGUCUAGUGGCGCACGGGUGCGUAACGCGUGGGAAUCUGCCCUUGGGUUCGGAAUAACAGUUAGAAAUGACUGCUAAUACCGGAUGAUGACUUCGGUCCAAAGAUUUAUCGCCCAAGGAUGAGCCCGCGUAGGAGUAGCUAGUUGGUAGGGUAAAGGCCUACCAAGGCGACGGUCCUUAGCUGGUCUGAGAGGAUGAUCAGCCACACUGGGACUGAGACACGGCCCAGACUCCUACGGGAGGCAGCAGUGGGGAAUAUUGGACAAUGGGCGAAAGCCUGAUCCAGCAAUGCCGCGUGAGUGAUGAAGGCCCUAGGGUUGUAAAGCGCUUUUACCCGGGAUGAUAAUGACAGUACCGGGAGAAUAAGCCCCGGCUAACUCCGUGCCAGCCGCCGCAGUAAGAC
rnacentral:rRNA from 1 species